rnacentral:rRNA from 1 species
GUGGGGAAUAUUGGACAAUGGGCGCAAGCCUGAUCCAGCCAUGCCGCGUGAGUGAUGAAGGCCUUAGGGUUGUAAAGCUCUUUCAGUGGGGACGAUAAUGACGGUACCCACAGAAGAAGCCCCGGCUAACUUCGUGCCAGCAGCCGCGGUAAUACGAAGGGGGCUAGCGUUGUUCGGAUUUACUGGGCGUAAAGCGCACGUAGGCGGAUCGUUAAGUCGGGGGUGAAAUCCUGGAGCUCAACUCCAGAACUGCCUUCGAUACUGGCGAUCUUGAGUCCGGAAGAGGUGAGUGGAACUCCUAGUGUAGAGGUGGAGUUCGUAGAUAUUAGGAAGAACACCAGUGGCGAAGGCGGCUCACUGGUCCGGUACUGACGCUGAGGUGCGAAAGCGUGGGGAGCAAACAGGAUUAGAAACCCUUGUAGUCC